rnacentral:rRNA from 1 species
GGAAUAUUGGACAAUGGGCGAAAGCCUGAUCCAGCCAUGCCGCGUGUGUGAAGAAGGUCUUCGGAUUGUAAAGCACUUUAAGUUGGGAGGAAGGGCAGUACAUUAAUACUGUGCUGUUUUGACGUUACCGACAGAAUAAGCACCGGCUAACUCUGUGCCAGCAGCCGCGGUAAUACAGAGGGUGCAAGCGUUAAUCGGAAUUACUGGGCGUAAAGCGCGCGUAGGUGGUUCGUUAAGUUGGAUGUGAAAUCCCCGGGCUCAACCUGGGAACUGCAUUCAAAACUGUCGAGCUAGAGUAUGGUAGAGGGUGGUGGAAUUUCCUGUGUAGCGGUGAAAUGCGUAGAUAUAGGAAGGAACACCAGUGGCGAAGGCGACCACCUGGACUGAUACUGACACUGAGGUGCGAAAGCGUGGGGAGCAAACAGGAUUAGAUACCCUUG